GGCCGCCGCCCGCUUCAAGCAGUCCGUGGUCCAGGAGGAGGAUGCUGGCCUCACGCAGGAUCUCCGCGGGUGAUUAUCGGCGCUGCACCUGGAGCUCGUUAGGCCCCGCGCACUCCAGAGCCCGCUCCAGCCCGCUCCAGAGCAGGGCGCAGCACAGCGACGUGCCUACCCCGCCUACGGCCCUCGCGGCCCUUGGCCUGUCAAGGGCUUGGGGGCCCUAAAGGCUCCUCGACUGAAUCGCUCCUCAUGAAGACGCCGCCCUCGGACCGCGAUCCAAAACGGACGGGAAAACGAUGGAGGCCCAAUGUAGAGGCGCGGGGAGGACUGCACACCAGAGGACGCGAAGGGAAGAGAAGCACAUCCAUAAAACGAUGGACGAGGCUCUUUGCGCCACACUCCCAUAGGCUUCCGGGCCGGGCACCGCCGCUGUGACGGGCCGAUGUUGGUCCGUCCGGAUGACACGCCCCUAAUUGGUCGGACGAUUAUCCGUCCCAGAGGACAGAGUAUCAAGAUGGAAAAAAGGAAGGGAGGGAGACGCGACGCGGUCCGGUUUGGUGAAAGUCAACGUCACGGGAAUAAAUAUGUGAGGGAAUUCUCGAAAUGUGAGAAGAGCAUAAGCAUCACUACAGUUUCCGUAAAUCAAAGAUAUUCGUCGUGUUCUUCUUCAAGACCCCAAUCACUUUAGACGCGCCUUGCCCCGGCUCCCUCAGCGGCAAUCCCUUCAUUCCUCAUCCAAAUUCGUAAACGUCAUUCCGUCAGAAGAGGACAAGGGUACGGCCACGAGGGAGCGUCCCGGGGGCUGCCGCCGGCCGCGCCCCCGCCGCCACAUCCUUCACGUUUCAAUAUCCGAGGCCGGACGACGGUCAGUUUGCACGCACACGCCCAAAAAAACAGAAUUCGCACCUCAUGAUAAUUUGAAUUUGUAAGACGCUGAGCAGGACGCCGAGGAGGAAGCCACACCACACCCCGGGCUCCUUGAGGAGGACCCGCAGAGACCGCGCAGCGCCGCGCCACGCCGCGCUCAGACGACAUCCAGAUUAGCGAUG